rnacentral:lncRNA from 1 species
GUUCCAGUUGUUUCUUAUUUUUACAUUAAAAUGAUAUGUAUUUUUAACAAAGUUAUCUAACAAAUAGUCUGUUAAGAGUAGUUUUCUCUCUUGGUAUAUUUUUUCUGUCUACUGUCCAUCUGUUGUCAUUAUCGUGAAAAUGCGGAUUUUUGUCAUAUCUGGUCCGGUUCCGAUCCGUAGUUUACACAAAAUUGUGCAAUGGCGGCCGUAGAAAAAUUUACGAAAAUGAGUCCGAGAAUAAACAUUGUUUGACAAGAGAUUGUGAAUGAAUAAGACGCUUUUAAUGCAUUAAAUGGAUUAAACAUAAACUUAAGCCAAUU